GACGAACGCUGGCGGCGUGCUUAACACAUGCCAGUCGAACGGAAAGGCCCUGCUUUUGUGGGGUGCUCGAGUGGCGAACGGGUGAGUAACACGUGAGUAACCUGCCCUUGACUUUGGGAUAACUUCAGGAAACUGGGGCUAAUACCGGAUAGGAGCUCCUGCUGCAUGGUGGGGGUUGGAAAGUUUCGGCGGUUGGGGAUGGACUCGCGGCUUAUCAGCUUGUUGGUGGGGUAGUGGCUUACCAAGGCUUUGACGGGUAGCCGGCCUGAGAGGGUGACCGGCAGAUGGGAGGUAGUGAAAGGACAAAGACUGAUGUGAGGAGCGGAGAGGAGGAAGAGUGCAAGAGGGGAGGGAGGAGGGGGCAGAGACGCCGGGUGCGGAGGGGUGGCGUUGGGGUUGAAGGCAGGUGUCUGGUGAGAAGAGGCGGGAGUGAGAGUAGGGGAAAAAGAAGCAAAGGCAAACUACAUGGCAGAAGCAGCAGAAAUAGAUAAGAAAGAACAUGUCUGAAC
rnacentral:rRNA from 1 species